rnacentral:rRNA from 1 species
GUAACCUGCCCAGAAGUAGGGGAUAACACCUGGAAACAGAUGCUAAUACCGUAUAACAGAGAAAACCGCAUGGUUUUCUUUUAAAAGAUGGCUCUGCUAUCACUUCUGGAUGGACCCGCGGCGUAUUAGCUAGUUGGUGAGGUAAAGGCUCACCAAGGCAGUGAUACGUAGCCGACCUGAGAGGGUAAUCGGCCACAUUGGGACUGAGACACGGCCCAGACUCCUACGGGAGGCAGCAGUAGGGAAUCUUCCACAAUGGACGCAAGUCUGAUGGAGCAACGCCGCGUGAGUGAAGAAGGGUUUCGGCUCGUAAAGCUCUGUUGUUAAAGAAGAACGUGGGUAAGAGUAACUGUUUACCCAGUGACGGUAUUUAACCAGAAAGCCACGGCUAACUACGUGCCAGCAGCCGCGGUAAUACGUAGGUGGCAAGCGUUAUCCGGAUUUAUUGGGCGUAAAGCGAGCGCAGGCGGUCUUUUAAGUCUAAUGUGAAAGCCUUCGGCUCAACCGAAGAAGUGCAUUGGAAACUGGGAGACUUGAGUGCAGAAGAGGACAGUGGAACUCCAUGUGUAGCGGUGAAAUGCGUAGAUAUAUGGAAGAACACCAGUGGCGAAGGCGGCUGUC